CACGGGUCCCCCCGCGACGACUAGCCGUGAACCCCGCCAGGCCCGGAAGGGAGCAACGGUAACGGUGAACUCGGGCGCCGGGGUGUGGCUGGUGUGG
rnacentral:SRP_RNA from 1 species